UACGGAGGGUGCGAGCGUUGUCCGGAAUCACUGGGCGUAAAGGGCGCGUAGGCGGCCUGAUAAGUAGGGGGUGAAAUCCUGCGGCUUAACCGCAGGGCUGCCUUCUAAACUGUCAGGCUCGAGCACAGUAGAGGCAGGUGGAAUUCCCGGUGUAGCGGUGGAAUGCGUAGAGAUCGGGAAGAACAUCAGUGGCGAAGGCGGCCUGCUGGGCUGUUGCUGACGCUGAGGCGCGACAGCUAGGGGAGCAAACGGG
rnacentral:rRNA from 1 species